AUACGGAGGGUGCGAGCGUUAAUCGGAAUUACUGGGCGUAAAGCGUGCGUAGGCGGUUUGCUAAGUCAGAUGUGAAAGCCCCGGGCUUAACCUGGGAACUGCAUUUGAUACUGGCAGACUAGAGUAUGAUAGAGGGGGGUAGAAUUCCUGGUGUAGCGGUGAAAUGCGUAGAUAUCAGGAGGAAUACCAGUGGCGAAGGCGGCCUCCUGGCUCGAUACUGACGCUGAGGUGCGAAAGCGUGGGGAGCAAACAGGAUUAGAUACCCUAGUAGUCC
rnacentral:rRNA from 1 species